GCAUCCUUUAAAAAAACAAAACACCUUUUAAUGCCAGAAUUUUUGUUUUGCACGUUACAUAUCAAAUUGUGAAAUGAGUAGUAUGUCACAGAAUAUACAAAUUCUAUUUUAAUAAUUUAUUUUUUGCAGUUACAUACUCUAUCAGAUAUCAGAUUAGAUCAGAUUUAACUUUAUUAUCACGGAACAGUGUACAUACAAAGAUAAUGAAACAUAGUUGGUCUCUGAACAGAAGUACAGUAGCGAUUAAUAAAAUAUACUAUGAGUAAAAAUGUACUCAGUAUAAACUUUAGCAGUCCGUACUUAAUGCCAUAAUGUCUCUAAUAAAAUAUAAUCCCUCCAUCAUUAAUGAAUUACUUUAACAGCCUAAUGAUACAUAUAGACAUUACACAAUAGAGCCACAAAUAUUAUUCGAUCCAACUCUAUAGCCUAUAACCCCCAUUUAUCCAAUAUAAAUCUUUACUCACCUCGUGAAAAAUCAGGCGUAUCAAACUACAAAUACUAUCAGCUAUUAGUGCAAAUAAAGUAUCUCAGC